GUGAGUGGUGCGUCGGCGGAGCUAUGAAUGGGCAGAGAGGGGUGUACUCUCACAGACACCAUAGCAGCAGUGAGAUGAGGAGUGCCAUUUACCCCACUGCACGCCUACUGUACUGAGAGGAGAAAAGAGAGGGAAGGAGUUGCACAGCCAACAUUUGCAAGAAAAAUAGAGUGAUCCAUCCUAAGUCCCCACAGCCCCGAACUUCUGAGGAAAAACUUUCAAGUCAGCCAUGGAGCAGAAGACAAAUGAGUGUCCCACCAACACCUCUCCUCAGAAACACAUGAAAAACAGGUCUAAGUCCACAGAGGAGGUACAGCAGUCAAAGAAGGCCUUUUCCUCACAAAAAUCACUCCCAGGCAGACCAGAGCUGGAGAGAGUGAAGGAAUGUCCUGAUGGCUCUGAGACACCGUCAUCCUCCAGCGAAGAACUGAAAUGAUGAACAAAGCCUAGAAACGAUGCCAUAAAGCUACAUCAUCAUAAACCUGAGACAUAAAAUGUGCAGAUGUACACAGAGGAACAUGCAGAAUAGUAUAUGAAAAAAAUGCAAGCCAUGAAUUGAUUAAAAGGAGAGAAUUGGACUAAAACACACACACACACACACACACACACACACACACACACACACACACACACACACACACACACACACACACACACACACACACCUAUUCACCCUACCACUGAAACAACAUGUAUGUGAACAGAAGGACACCUGUGAUGAUAUUGUUUCAUUGUACUGUGAGUGGUGUAUACAUGCCACCUGAAUGUGUAGUAACAAUAAAGUGAUGUUGCUGA